UCAUUUUUUGAAUUUUUCUAGCCAUUUUCUCUUUCUUCCUCCACAAUUUUUCUCCUCUCUUCCGUUGUUCCUCUUGACGUUUCUAAAUCUCUCUCUUUUUCUCUUUCUAUUUCAUCUCUUCACAUUUCAUAACCCUUUCUCUUUCUCCACAAACGUUUCUUCCUGUCUCUCUCUCUCUUCCUCCGUUCUUCUUCUUCUUCACACAUUUUGUACCACAUUCCUCUUCUUCUUAUCUUCUAAAGACAAAUACAUCCUCAUCUAUUUUUUUAAAUGCAUCUAUGUUACUUUCACAACUAAGAGAAACAAAAGAUAAACACCAAAAACAAGUUGAAAACAAAAAAAAAUGGAAAGAGAUGGAAUCAGAAUCUACCGGCGGUGGGAUGCAAUAAGGUGGUUUCCGACAAAAGUUGACAAGGCACACGAUGGAAACAAUAUCAAGUGGGGUUGAUUUGUUGAAACUCAUGAAAUGUUCCAGAAGUUAGCUGCAGAAAAGAUAGGAAAGGUAUGAUUUCAAUCUUUAUUUUAUGUCUGGGUUACAAGAAAGUUUUCUCUUUUUGGGUCUAUUAUUUCAAUCUCCAAGAGUUGAAUAUUAAUUAUGCAGGUUGAGUCACAAUCAUCAUUAAAUACUCUUCCACUUUUCAGGCUAGGUGAUUCGGCUACCCAAAGAUGUUUCAAUUCCCGUGACACUAAAGGUUUUGGAGUUUGAAAAUUUUCAUUUAUGUCCAAUCAAAGAAAGAUUUUACAAUCAACUUAUCCAAUAUUUCAUUAGUUUCCGCCCUUUUUUUGCAUUUGGUUUUGUUAAACUAACCGAUAUAACAUUUCAAUAUAUCAUUUUACCAUCAGUAUUAGCUUGGGUCGUCUCACCAGCAGCGUUUCGGUUUCGUAGAAUGACACUCGCGUUUCCUAUUAAUUGUAUUAGUUAUUCAGAUUUUGGUAUGCUUUUAUUCUGAGAACUAUGUUUUUUGUUGAAUGGAAGGAGUAUUCAGAACCCCCUGUUUUGUCUGAUGGAAUUACUGAAUCAUUAUUGAAGGUGAAUUUCAUGGCAGACUGGGUAUUCUGUUUAAAAUAGGUUGCUGAUGGUGAAAUAUGUAAGAGGUGAACAAUUGAGUUUCUUUUUUGUUGUUUGAUGUUAAAAAAUAUACACUGUGCACAUCUUGUAAUUGCAACUUUUUCCGCACCUGUGUAUACUGCAUUUCUAAGCUAGCUGAAUGUAUUAAAGAUAUUUCUAUUUAAUAUCUAGGAAACUGUAUCAAAGUCUUCCCGAUGAUUGUUAAACUGAAUUUCAGAAUUUCAGGAAGAUAUUGUAGCAAUAUUUAAAAAGACUGAUGCAUACAACUCAGGAACAACUACGCUCAAAGAAUUUCAGGCGGUCAUGGAGCAAUAUUAGUGGUAUCAGACUGAAUGAGACACUUUAUUUUUUGGAGGGACUCAAGUUAAAUCUGAAGGAAAUCGAAGUGCUCUUCAAUCUCGAAUUUAUUUUGAUGUAAGAAAUUUUCUGUUUCAAUUCCUGAUUCAUUGAAUAAGGCAAGCAGACUCUCAGCUGGAAUGUCGGUGCUAGGAUUUAUUAUCAUCCUUAUCACUUUUUGCUUGGUGUACAAAUUUCUUACACACCCUUUUCCUUUUUGUUUUUGUGAUUUUGGUAUUGGAAUUGUAAUAAUUCUGCUCAAGCUUUGUUGGAAUGAACGGUAGAGUGAAUAGUCACUUUAAUAUAUUAUCAGGUAUCUUGUGUA